rnacentral:rRNA from 1 species
AUCGGNGCCAGCAGCCGNCGGNUAAUACGGAANGGNNGCAAGCGUUAAUCGGAAUUACNUGGGGGCGUAAAGCGCAUGCAGGUGGUUUGUUAAGUCAGAUGUGAAAGCCCUGGGCUCAACCUAGGAAUCGCAUUUGAAACUGACAAGCUAGAGUACUGUAGAGGGGGGUAGAAUUUCAGGUGUAGCGGUGAAAUGCGUAGAGAUCUGAAGGAAUACCGGUGGCGAAGGCGGCCCCCUGGACAGAUACUGACACUCAAUGCGAAAGCGUGGGGAGCAAACAGGAUAGNACCCUGGUAUCCACGCCGUAACGAUGUCUACUUGGAGGUGGACUAAUCUGG